rnacentral:rRNA from 1 species
AAUUGUAUUGUGGAAAUGUAUUACCAACAGAGGUGCAGGUGCCAGCCUAUUGAAAUAAAGCGUCAAUGAGGGUGAGAAUCCUGUUUGUCAUGUGCAGCCCUUUGUGCACGGUGUAUAUUUGCUGAGUCACACUCCUUGGCAUUGGAAUGCAAAGUGGGUGGUAAGUUUCAUGUAAAGGUAAACAUGCAAUUGAGACUGAUAGCACACAAGUACCAUGAGGGAAAUAUGAAAAGGACUUUGAAAAGAGAAUUAAAUGAGUUUGUAUUUGCUGAACACAAAGUAAACAGACUUGAUUUGCUUGGUGGGAGUGUUGCACUUGCUUGACAAGAGCUUUGGGCUGUGGGUGUAAUGAUUCUUUCUUUGCAUGCCAGUUUCUAUUUGUACAUCUGAUUACCUUUGCACAUGAAUGAUAAGUCUCCUGUGGGGGGUGGAUUGCAUGUGCAUGUAAUGAUUUGUGUUUUGAUAAAUGUGUCUGGUGUAUGUGUGUGUUCCUGUGCUUGGGGAUGCUUCCUUCCUUGGACUUACAAGCCCUGACACACACAUGCUGGCAAAAUGCUUCUGCUUGACCCGUCUUGAAACACGGACCAAGGAGUCUAACAGAUGUGCAAAGUUUGAAGGUGGUAUACCUUUGUGUGCAAUGAAAGUGUCAGCUGGGAUAUGUGCACCAGCACCCAAUUAAUUAGCGGACAGAGGUUUGAGUUGGAGCAUAUCUAUUAGGACCCGAAAGAUGGUGAACUAUGCCUGAACAGAAUGAAUUCAGAGGAAACUCUGAUGGAGGUUCGUAUCGAUACUGACGUGCAAAUCGUUCGUCAUAUUUGGGUAUAGGGGCGAAAGACUAAUCGAACCAUCUAGUAGCUGGUUCCCUCCGAAGUUUCCCUCAGGAUAGCUGGAGUUGCUCAGUUUUAUCAGGUAAAGCGAAUGAUUAGAGGAAUUGGGGACAGGUUUGUCUUUGACCUAUUCUCAAACUUUAAAUGGGUAAUAUGUAGUGGUUGCUGUAUGG